rnacentral:lncRNA from 1 species
AUAAGCUUUGAAAAGUCAUUAACAAAAUAAUUUUUUUUAAAAUUAUUUUAUACAAAUAAUUCUGAAAACUAAACCGAACAGUCGACUAUCUCACAAAGUUAAUGUGCCCAGCCACACUUAUUUUGUGCGAGUUUCACAACUUUGUGAGAAGGUCGUUACUGUUCCUGUCGAGGACUCAAUAAUUGGUGUUUUUGGAAAGUUAAAUGCGUACAUGCAACCACGACUUCUAACUCAAUGUGGACGUGACCGGCACUGCUUA